rnacentral:rRNA from 1 species
AUUGAACGCUGGCGGCAGGCCUAACACAUGCAAGUCGAGCGGAUGAAGGGAGCUUGCUCCUGGAUUCAGCGGCGGACGGGUGAGUAAUGCCUAGGAAUCUGCCUGGUAGUGGGGGAUAACGUCCGGAAACGAGCGCUAAUACCGCAUACGUCCUGAGGGAGAAAGAGGGGGAUCUUCGGACAUCAAGCUAUCCGCUGAACCUAGGUCGGAUUAGCUAGUUGGUGGGGUAAAGGCCUACCAAGGCGACGAUCCGUAACGGGUCUGAGAGGCUGAUCAGUCACACGGGAACUGGAACACGGUCCAGACUCCUACGGGAGGCAGCAGUGGGGAAUAUUGGACAAUGGGCGAAAUCCUGAUCCAGCCAUGCCGCGUGUGUGAAGAAGGUCUUCGGAUUGUAAAGCACUUUAAGUUGGGAGGAAGGGCAGUAAGUUAAUACCUUGCUGUUUUGACGUUACCAACAGAAUAAGCACCGGCUAACUUCGUG